rnacentral:tRNA from 1 species
GCCGAUGUGGCGAAACUGGUAGACGCGCACGCUUCAGGAGCGUGUUCUCGCAAGAGAAUGGAGGUUCGAGUCCUCUCAUCGGCACCA